rnacentral:misc_RNA from 1 species
GGAAGUAAAGGUCGUAACAAGGUUUCCGUAGGUGAACCUGCGGAAGGAUCAUUAUUGUAUAACCGAGGUGCGAGGGCUGUCGCUGACCCGAAAGGUCGUGCACGCCCGAGUGCCCUCACACACAUCCAUCUCACCCCUAUGCGCACCACCGCGUGGGUCCCCCUUUGGCUUGUUCGGAGGGGGGCUUACGUUUUCACACAAACUUUGUAUGCAGUGUAGAAUGUAUUUUUUGUUUUUGCGAUCACGCAAUCAAUACAACUUUCAACAACGGAUCUCUUGGCUCUC